ACCAAGCGAUCGCAAGAUCGUUUAUUGUUGAACUCUAGAUAACAUGCAGAUCGCAUGGUCUUGUACCGACGACAGAUCUUUCAAAUGUCUGCCCUAUCAACUUUUGAUGGUAGUAUCUAGGACUACCAUGGUUGCAACGGGUAACGGGGAAUCAGGGUUCGAUUCCGGAGAGGGAGCCUGAGAAACGGCUACCACAUCUAAGGAAGGCAGCAGGCGCGUAAAUUACCCACUUCCAGCUCGGGGAGGUAGUGACGAAAAAUAACAAUACAGGACUCAUAUCCGAGGCCCUGUAAUUGGAAUGAGUACACUUUAAAUCCUUUAACAAGGACCAAUUGGAGGGCAAGUCUGGUGCCAGAAGCCGCGGUAAUUCCAGCUCCAAUAGCGUUUAUUAAAGUUGUUGCGGCUAAAACGUUCGUAGUUGAACUUGUGCUUCAUACGGGUAGUACAACUUACAAUUGUGGUUAGUACUAUACCUAUAUGUAUGUAAGCGUAUUACCGGUGGAGUUCUUACAUGUGAUUAAAUACUUGUAUUUUUUCAUAUGUUCCUCCUAUUUAAAAACCUGCAUUAGUGCUCUUAAACGAGUGCUAUUGUGGGCCGGUACUAUUACUUUGAACAAAUUAGAGUGCUUAAAGCAGGCUUCAAAUACCUGAAUAUUCUGCGCAUGGGAUAAUGAAAUAAGACCUCUGUUCUGCUUUCAUUGGUUUUCAGAUCAAGAGGUAAUGAUUAAUAGAAGCAGUUUGGGGGCAUUAGUAUUACGACGCGAGAGGUGAAAUUCUUGGACCGUCGUAAGACUAACUUAAGCGAAAGCAAUUGCCAAAGAUGUUUUCAAUAAUCAAGAACGAAAGUUAGAGGUUCGAAGGCGAUCAGAUACCGCCUUAGUUCUAACCAUUAACGAUGCCAGCUAGCAAUUGGGUGUAGCUACUUUUAUGGCUCUCUCAGUCGCUUCCCGGGAAAGGAAGUAUGGGGAAGCUCCGGGGGAAGUAUGGUUGCAAAGCUGAAACUUAAAGGAAUUGACGGAAGGGCACCACCAGGAGUGGAGCCUGCGGCUUAAUUUGACUCAACACAGGAAAACUUACCAGGUCCGAACAUAAGUGUGUAAGACAGAUUGAUAGCUCUUUCUCGAAUCUAUGGGUGGUGGUGCAUGGCCGUUCAUAGUUCGUGGAGUAAUUUGUCUGGUUAAUUCCGAUAACGAAUGAGACUCAAAUAUAUUAAAUAGAUAUCUUCAGGAUUAUGGUGCUGAAGCUUAUAUAGCCUUCAUUAAUGGUGGCAGUAAAAUGUUUAUUGUGUUUGAAUGUGUUUAUGUAAGUGGAACUGAAACUGUUCACAUGAACUUAAAAUUCCCAGUAAGUGUGAGUCAUUAACUCGCAUUGAUUACGUCCCUGCCCUUUGUACACACCGCCCGUCGCUACUACCGAUUGAAUUGUUUAGUGAGGUCUCCGGACGUGAUCACUGUGACGCCUUGAGUGUUACGCUUGUUUCGCAAAAGUUGACCGAACUUGAUUAUUUAGAGAAGUAAAAGUCGUAACUAGGUUUCCGUAGGUGAACCUGCGGAAG
rnacentral:rRNA from 1 species